rnacentral:rRNA from 1 species
AAUCAACGCUGGCGGCGUGCCUAACACAUGCAAGUCGCACGAGAAAGGGGAGCAAUCCCUGAGUAAAGUGGCGCACGGGUGAGUAACACGUGAAUCAUCUACCUCCGAGUGGGGAAUAACUGAGAGAAAUCUUAGCUAAUACCGCAUAACACUUACGAGUCAAAGCAGCAAUGCGCUUGGAGAGGAGUUCGCGGCCGAUUAGUUAGUUGGCGGGGUAAUGGCCCACCAAGACGAUGAUCGGUAUCCGGCCUGAGAGGGCGCACGGACACACUGGAACUGAAACACGGUCCAGACUCCUACGGGAGGCAGCAGUGGGGAAUUUUGCGCAAUGGGGAAACCCUGACGCAGCAACGCCGCGUGGAGGAUGAAGUAUCUUGGUACGUAAACUCCUUUCGAUUGGGAAGAUAAUGACGGUACCAAUAGAAGAAGCCCCGGCUAACUUCGUGCCAGCCGCCGCCGUAAC